GAUGAACGCUGGCGGCGUGCCUAAUACAUGCAAGUCGAGCGAACAGACGAGGAGCUUGCUCCUCUGACGUUAGCGGCGGACGGGUGAGUAACACGUGGAUAACCUACCUAUAAGACUGGGAUAACUUCGGGAAACCGGAGCUAAUACCGGAUAAUAUAUUGAACCGCAUGGUGCAAGAGUGAGAGAAGGUUGUGCUGAGGCUAAUAGAUGGAUCCGCGCCUCAUUAGCUAGUGGGUAAGGUAGAGGCUUACCAAGGCAACGAUGCGUACCCGACCUGAGAGGGUGAUCGGCCACGCUGGAACUGAGACACGGUCCGGACUCCUGCGGGAGGCAGCAGUAGGGAAUCCUCCGCGAAGGGCGAAAGCCUGACGGAGCAACGCCGCGUGAGUGAUGAAGGUCUUCGGAUCGUAAAACUCUGUUAUGAGUGAAGAACAAAUGUGUAAGUUACUAGGCACGCCUUGACGGUACCUGAUCAGAAAGCCACGGCUAACUACGUU
rnacentral:rRNA from 1 species